ensembl:rRNA 5S_rRNA 5S ribosomal RNA
GUCUAUGGCCAUACCACCCUGAACAUGCCUGAUCUCAUCUGAUCUUGGAAGCUAAGCAGGAUUGGACCUCGUAUAGGUGCUUGACU